CUGCUAGCUAAAAUUACCGACACUUUUAAAAACGGUUGCUAUAUGUGGGGUCGCUAGGUAUAUAGUGACAGUUAAAGAGUGUCGUUAUAACCUAAAAGAGUGCUGCUAAUUUACCAACACUUAUUUAAGCAUUUAGCAACCGCCGAAACUCUAUCUCGUUGGCUGUGGUAGCCGAGGAGGACGACAGAAAAGACUCUUCGUCUAGAAUUUUAAUGGAUUAAGUGAAAAGAGAAGAAAAGAUGGUAAUUAAUUUUUCUUUUUUUUUUCUUUUCUGUUUGUAAUCGGGCCAAAUGGACUGGGUGUGGUGGGUUGAGUAGAGUAAUCUUUUAUUUUUGGUUGGAUUGGGUUUUAUAUUUAGACAUUAGUAGAUGUUUUUUAAAAUUUUAGCAUAAAUGGGACACUUACUCAAAAGUGUCCCAAACAUGUGUCCCUAUAACCUAAUUCUGUUGUAGU
rnacentral:lncRNA from 1 species